rnacentral:rRNA from 1 species
GACGAACGCUGGCGGCGCGCCUAACACAUGCAAGUCGAACGGGGCCAACAGGAGCUUGCUUUUCUUGACUUAUUGGCGAACGGGUGAGUAACGCGGGAUUAACCUGCCCUGGAGUGGGGGACAACAGUUGGAAACGACUGCUAAUACCGCAUAAGCCCACGGCUCCGCAUGGACCUGCGGGAAAAGGAUUUAUUCGCUUCAGGAUGGACUCGCGUCCAAUUAGCUAGUUGGUGAGGUAACGGCCCACCAAGGCGACGAUUGGUAGCCGGACUGAGAGGUUGAACGGCCACAUUGGGACUGAGACACGGCCCAGACUCCUACGGGAGGCAGCAGUGGGGGAUAUUGGACAAUGGGGGAAACCCUGAUGCAGCGACGCCGCGUGGGGGAAGAAGGUUUUCGGAUUGUAAACUCCUGUUGCCAGGGACGAUAAUGACGGUACCUAACGAGAAAGCACCGGCUAACUACGUG